rnacentral:rRNA from 1 species
AUUGAACGCUGGCGGCAGGCCUAACACAUGCAAGUCGAGCGGAUGAAGGGAGCUUGCUCCUGGAUUCAGCGGCGGACGGGUGAGUAAUGCCUAGGAAUCUGCCUGGUAGUGGGGGAUAACGUCCGGAAACGGGCGCUAAUACCGCAUACGUCCUGAGGUAGAAAGUGGGGGAUCUUCGGACCUCACGCUAUCAGAUGAGCCUAGGUCGGAUUAGCUAGUUGGUGGGGUAAAGGCCUACCAAGGCGACGAUCCGUAACUGGUCUGAGAGGAUGAUCAGUCACACUGGAACUGAGACACGGUCCAGACUCCUACGGGAGGCAGCAGUGGGGAAUAUUGGACAAUGGGCGAAAGCCUGAUCCAGCAAUGCCGCGUGUGUGAAGAAGGUCUUCGGAUUGUAAAGCACUUUAAGUUGGGAGGAAGGGCAGUAAGUUAAUACCUUGCUGUUUUGACGUUACCAACAGAAUAAGCACCGGCUAACUUCGUG